rnacentral:lncRNA from 1 species
GUGACUUGUAAUAAUAAUUAUUGGUAGUGAACAAUCUAUAAGUUUUGAGUAUUUCCAACUUCUGAUUGUUCCAACUUAAGAUGGUGGGGUUUGAACUUAACCUCAUUAUAAGUCAAGUGUAAUACUCUUUAUCAAUGAAUUUGGAUCUUGAUAAAUAGUGUUAUAUAGGUUUUUACACCUAGAAGCCUAGAAAGCUGAAUUAGUGAUCAUAAAGAUACAAUACAAUUAGAUAGAAACAUAACUGUACUAGUGAUAAAGAUAUGAUAUGAUAUAAUAUUAAUAUAAAUUGGAACGAUGCCAAAAUAGUUCUAAUUUAUAUUAUGGUGAAAGGGAAGUUAUGGAAGCUAAUUAUAUAAAAAACUGCAAAAAUAUUAACCAAACUAUCAACACAAAAACCAACAGCUUGGUCAUGGUUAAUAUAUACUGUCUUUUUCCGAAAAUAAGACACUGUCUUACUUUCUUUUUUGGUCCAAAAUACGCGCUAGGGCUUAUUUUCGGGGAGGGCAAAAAUAAAAGUAUAUUUAUAUAUUUUUAUUUAAUAUUUAUUUUACACAGAAUACAGAAAUUUAAAUUUAUUCAAUUACAGUCAUGUCAUCUUCUUCUGGAACAUCGUCAUAAAUAAAAUUCUGAAUUAUAUUCUGAUUUCUUCCAAAUCCA